UCAUAAUCCUAGCCUUGGCUUAGUGGUAAAGCGCAUCACUAGUACUAUUAGCGAUGAUGAGAUCGCUGGUUCGAUUCCAGCAGGGUGAG